AACGAACGCUGGCGGCAUGCCUAACACAUGCAAGUCGAACGAGACCUUCGGGUCUAGUGGCGCACGGGUGCGUAACGCGUGGGAACCUGCCCUUAGGUUCGGAAUAACUCCCCGAAAGGGGUGCUAAUACCGGAUAAUGUCUUCGGACCAAAGAUUUAUCGCCUUUGGAUGGGCCCGCGUUGGAUUAGCUAGUUGGUAGGGUAAAAGCCUACCAAGGCGACGAUCCAUAGCUGGUCUGAGAGGAUGAUCAGCCUCACUGGGACUGAGACACGGCCCAGACUCCUACGGGAGGCAGCAGUGGGGAAUAUUGGACAAUGGGCGAAAGCCUGAUCCAGCAAUGCCGCGUGAGUGAUGAAGGCCUUAGGGUUGUAAAGCUCUUUUACCCGGGAUGAUAAUGACAGUACCGGGAGAAUAAGCUCCGGCUAACUCCGU
rnacentral:rRNA from 1 species